rnacentral:rRNA from 1 species
UACGAAGGGGGCUAGCGUUGCUCGGAAUCACUGGGCGUAAAGGGUGCGUAGGCGGGUCUUUAAGUCAGGGGUGAAAUCCUGGAGCUCAACUCCAGAACUGCCUUUGAUACUGAAGAUCUUGAGUUCGGGAGAGGUGAGUGGAACUGCGAGUGUAGAGGUGAAAUUCGUAGAUAUUCGCAAGAACACCAGUGGCGAAGGCGGCUCACUGGCCCCGAUACUGACGCUGAGGCACGAAAGCGUGGGGAGCAAACAGGG